UGCAUUUCACGAACACACAACUGACCGUCGCCAAGGACACACUUUUGAUUGCAACAGAUCUGAAAUACAGUGGCUGAGACACAAAUAAAAUUUUCAAAAAGACACUUUUGGAAAUCGAAUUUUUUAAUCAAAUUGGAGAGAGAGAGAGAGAGAGAGAGAGAGAGAGAGAGAGAAAGAGAGAGAGAGAGAGUCAAUCGUGUUUUACUUAAAACACAUGUGUAAACUAAUUUGCAUUUUUUUCACAGAAGACGGAUAUAUUAAAUCCUUUAUUCUUGUACGAUGUACAAAUAAACUAUAUAUGUGGUUUUUAAGAUUCCGUGUUUUAUUUUGUUACAUGUAUUUAAAUAUGUCAGAUUGACAAGUGAUAAAUAUGUUAAAAGAAAGUGGACUAUAUCAUUUGAAAAGUGUAUUAUUAGUGACUUAAGUUAUAAAAAAAAAUCUACAAAUUCAUUGUAAAGAUAUCUAACGUACUUGUAUUGUAGCAAUGAAUAAGAUUCCUAAGGUACUCCCAGCCCAUCGGACCUACAAAUCUGAACAAUAUCAUAAUAUUACAUCAAAUCCGAUACCAUUUGUUAGCAAUGCGUUUCUAGAUUCAAUGUUUUUUUUCACAGUAUAAUAAAAAAGGAAAUGUUUAGUUACCUAAAGUCUUCAUUUGGU
rnacentral:misc_RNA from 1 species